UACGUAGGGGGCUAGCGUUGUCCGGAUUUAUUGGGCGUAAAGAGCGUGUAGGCUGCCAUGUCGGUCCGGUGUGAAAACUCGAGGCUUAACCUCGAGAUGUCAUCGGAAACCAUUUGGCUAGAGUCCGGAAGAGGAGAGUGGAAUUCCUGGUGUAGCGGUGAAAUGCGCAGAUAUCAGGAAGAACACCAAUGGCGAAAGCAGCUCUCUGGGACGGUACUGACGCUGAGACGCGAAAGCGUGGGGAGCGAACAGG
rnacentral:rRNA from 1 species